GAUAAAUGUUACCAAGGAAUAACUCGAGGGAUAUCAUACGUGACAACUUGAUACUUGAUAAAUUUGGUAGUUACAACACAAAAGUGAGCCAGUAAUGCUUAAGGCUUGGCACAAAUUGCAGCAAAUGGAACAUAUGAGCUCGGAUGGCAUAAUUCUUCAUGGCUUUUAUCGAGCCCAUCAAAAUAUGCAGGGACUUUCCAGUGAACGAAAAUCUAGGUGCUCCUAAGGUGGUGAUGUGUAAGAAUGAAAACAAAAGGGGCCAUUCACAAAAUAUAUGAAGGAAGGAGGUGAGGUGAGUGUCCGUCCAUAUGCAUUUUGGCUUUUCUCUGAUGAAGAUGUUGACAAGUCCUUGUACUUCCAAAACAAUUUCAAUCAGCCACCCUCAAAUGUCAUUUUCUCCAUUUUUGUCCACAAUCUCUCUCAAUGGGAUUCACUACACUUCCAUUGAGUAAGUAGCAGGGAUGUCCAAGAAAAGGAAAGUACGAUGUCACGCACUGUUACUUCGUUAGAGAGGAAUGAAAACGGAAGCCAAAAUUGAAACAAUAUAAGUUGCAUACACCAAAGGUACUAAAAUGAGAAGCCAAGGGAGGUGGCCAGAAUCGUGAUGUAUGUGAAGAAAAUGGAUGAUUCAAGACGGUGGGGACAAGAAAGAAAGGUAUGGCGACAAGAGGUCAAGAGCCAUGAACACGAAAAAAAAAACUAUCAUUGUGGUGGCAACAGCGUGAUAGAAUGGUAAUUUAGAUACGAAAUUCAUGUUCAAAACUGAAAGAAUUGCAACAGUGUCGAUGGUAUGUGUGAUGGUGCCUUUAGUAAAAUAAAAUUAUGCUAAUCUAAGGUACAUAUAACCAAGAUGGUUACUAGUUAUAGCUAUGAAAAAAACGACACUUAAAAAGUUAAUGGUAUAGUUUAACUUUGUUA